GGCAACCCUGACGGAGCAACGCCGCGUGUGGGAGGACGGCCUUCGGGUUGUAAACCACUUUUCUCAGGGAAGAAGGACUGACGGUACCUGAGGAAUAAGCCUCGGCUAACUCCGUGCCAGCAGCCGCGGUAAGACGGAGGAGGCAAGCGUUAUCCGGAAUUAUUGGGCGUAAAGCGUCCGUAGGUGGUUAUUCAAGUCUGCUGUCAAAGCGUGGGGCUUAACUCCAUAGAGGCAGUGGAAACUGAGUGACUAGAGUGCGGUAGGGGUCGAGGGAAUUCCCAGUGUAGCGGUGAAAUGCGUAGAUAUUGGGAAGAACACCGGUGGCGAAAGCGCUCGGCUGGGCCAAAACUGACACUGAGGGACGAAAGCUAGGGGAGCG
rnacentral:rRNA from 1 species